rnacentral:lncRNA from 1 species
CAAAUCAUAAAGAGUAGAUUUAUUUCAAUAUUUUUAUAACAUGAAAAAGUAACACGAACAUAUCCGAAUAUACAAAAACUCAAGGACAUUUGCUGCAUUUCAACUCAUUCCCCUGUAACAAAUGUACAUCUUCCUGUUACAUAUUAUGGACAUGCAAAAAAACUUACUUUCUAACAUUUCUUCCGGAAAUAAAAAAAAAACACAUAUAAAUACGUGGGCGGAUUUACUGCUAUAGAGACAGUUAUUUGGUGGCUGAAUCUCUCCUUUGCAAAUAUAUGAGUAUCUGAGACACCCAAAUCGUACAGGGCCGGAACUGGUAAUAAUAUCUUCAGAGCCAAGCAGAAAAGGGACCGAGAACCAGUAUCAGUCUAAGACGUACUGCUACAAAAUUUCAAUUAUACUAUCUUCCACUAGUAUCAAAUGCACUAAAAAAAAUCUUUAAAUAUGUAAUAUAGACUUUGGUUUAUAUUUAUUUUGGGAGUGUUGUUGUGAUAAGUUUGAUUUAUUGUUGCUUGUUUAACGUGUAGUGACACAUAUUUCAUGUAUUCAGGGGGAAUGUUGUUGAAACUUUUGACAAAAUUUGUUUCUCAUUAUUGGUUUGAGUUUUUAUAUGUAAUAAUUGUUAAUUUUCGUAGCUGCACGAAAAAAAAGUUUUAUAUUACUUUCACAUUCAAUAGAUAUAGGAAGAUGUGGUGUGUGUGAGUGCCAAUGAGACAACUCUCCAUCCAAAUAACAAUUUAAAAAAGUAAACCAUUAUAGGUCAAUGUACGGCCUCCAACACGGAGCCUUGGCUCACACCGAAC